rnacentral:rRNA from 1 species
GUCUGUUUAGUCUAAUGUGAAAGCCCACGGCUUAACCGUGGAACGGCAUUGGAAACUGACAGACUUGAAUGUAGAAGAGGAAAAUGGAAUUCCAAGUGUAGCGGUGGAAUGCGUAGAUAUUUGGAGGAACACCAGUGGCGAAGGCGAUUUUCUGGUCUAACAUUGACGCUGAGGCUCGAAAGCGUGGGGAGCGAACAGGAUUAGAUACCCUGGUAGUCCACGCCGUAAACGAUGAGUGCUAAGUGUUGGGGGCUUUCCGGCCCUCGGUGCUGGAGCUAACGUAUUAAGCACUCCGCCUGGGGAUUACGACCGCAAGGUUGAAACUCAAAAGAAUUGACGGGGACCCGCACAAGCGGUGGAGCAUGUGGUUUAAUUCGAAGCAACGCGAAGAACCUUACCAGCUCUUGACAUCUUCUGACAACUCUAGAGAUAGAGCGUUCCCUUCGGGACAGAAUGACAGGUGGUGCAUGGUUGUCGUCAGCUCGUGUCGUGAGAUGUUGGGUUAAGUCCCGUAACGAGCGCAACCCUUGUUGUUAGUUGCCAGCAUUAAGUUGGGCACUUUAACGAGACUGCCGGUGAUAAACCGGAGGAAGGCGGGGAUGACGUCAAAUCAUCAUGCCCCUUAUGAGCUGGGCUACACACGUGCUACAAUGGAUGGUACAACGAGCAGCGAUCCCGCAAGGGCUAGCUAAUCUUUCAAAGCCAUUCUCAGUUCGGAUUGCACUCUGCAACUCGAGUGCAUGAAGUCGGAAUCGCUAGUAAUCGCGAAUCAGAAUGUCGCGGUGAAUCCGUUCCCGGGUCUUGUACACACCGCCCGUCACACCACGAGAGUUUGAAACACCCGAAGUCGGCCGGCCAACCCUAUGGGAGGCAGCCGUCGAAGGUGGGUUGAAUGAUUGGGGUGAAGUCGUAACAAGGUAGCCGUAUCGGAAGGUGCGGCUGGAUCACCUCCUUUCUAAGGA